rnacentral:rRNA from 1 species
GACGAACGCUGGCUGCGUGCUUAACACAUGCAAGUCGAACGGAAAGGCCCUGCUUUUGUGGGGUGCUCGAGUGGCGAACGGGUGAGUAACACGUGAGUAACCUGCCCUUGACUUUGGGAUAACUUCAGGAAACUGGGGCUAAUACCGGAUAGGAGCUCCUGCUGCAUGGUGGGGGUUGGAAAGUUUCGGCGGUUGGGGAUGGACUCGCGGCUUAUCAGCUUGUUGGUGGGGUAGUGGCUUACCAAGGCUUUGACGGGUAGCCGGCCUGAGAGGGUGACCGGCCACAUUGGGACUGAGAUACGGCCCAGACUCCUACGGGAGGCAGCAGUGGGGAAUAUUGCACAAUGGGCGGAAGCCCGAUGCAGCAACGCCGCGUGCGGGAUGACGGCCUUCGGGUUGUAAACCGCUUUCGCCUGUGACGAAGCGUGAGUGACGGUAAUGGGUAAAGAAGCACCGGCUAACUACGUGCCAGCAGCCGCGGUGAUACGUAGGGUGCGAGCGUUGUCCGGAUUUAUUGGGCGUAAAGGGCUCGUAGGUGGUUGAUCGCGUCGGAAGUGUAAUCUUGGGGCUUAACCCUGAGCGUGCUUUCGAUACGGGUUGACUUGAGGAAGGUAGGGGAGAAUGGAAUUCCUGGUGGAGCGGUGGAAUGCGCAGAUAUCAGGAGGAACACCAGUGGCGAAGGCGGUUCUCUGGGCCUUUCCUGACGCUGAGGAGCGAAAGCGUGGGGAGCGAACAGGCUUAGAUACCCUGGUAGUCCACGCUGUAAACGGUGGGUACUAGGUGUGGGGUCCAUUCCACGGGUUCCGUGCCGUAGCUAACGCUUUAAGUACCCCGCCUGGGGAGUACGGCCGCAAGGCUAAAACUCAAAGGAAUUGACGGGGCCCCGCACAAGCGGCGGAGCAUGCGGAUUAAUUCGAUGCAACGCGUAGAACCUUACCUGGGUUUGACAUGGAUCGGGAGUGCUCAGAGAUGGGUGUGCCUCUUUUGGGGUCGGUUCACAGGUGGUGCAUGGCUGUCGUCAGCUCGUGUUGUGAGAUGUUGGGUUAAGUCCCGCAACGAGCGCAACCCUUGUUCACUGUUGCCAGCACGUUAUGGUGGGGACUCAGUGGAGACCGCCGGGGUCAACUCGGAGGAAGGUGGGGAUGACGUCAAGUCAUCAUGCCCCUUAUGUCCAGGGCUUCACGCAUGCUACAAUGGCUGGUACAGAGAGUGGCGAGCCUGUGAGGGUGAGCGAAUCUCGGAAAGCCGGUCUCAGUUCGGAUUGGGGUCUGCAACUCGACCUCAUGAAGUCGGAGUCGCUAGUAAUCGCAGAUCAGCAACGCUGCGGUGAAUACGUUCCCGGG